rnacentral:rRNA from 1 species
UACGUAGGGGGCCAGCGUUGCUCGGAAUUACUGGGCGUAAAGGGUUCGUAGGUGGUGCGGCAAGUUGGGAGUGAAAUCUCUGGGCUUAACCCAGAGGCUGCUUUCAAAACUGCCGCGCUCGAGUGCGAGAGAGGUCAGUGGAAUUGCAGGUGUAGCGGUGAAAUGCGUAGAUAUCUGCAGGAACACCCGUGGCGAAGGCGGCUGACUGGAUCGCAACUGACACUGAGGAGCGAAAGCGUGGGGAGCAAACAGG